GCCCCACUAGCCCAAUGGCUAGGGCGUCAGACUUCUAUUAACGAAAUCUGGAGGUUGCGGGUUCGAGUCCCGCGUGGGGUU